GACGAACGCUGGCGGCGUGCUUAACACAUGCAAGUCGAACGGAAAGGCCCUGCUUUUGUGGGGUGCUCGAGUGGCGAACGGGUGAGUAACACGUGAGUAACCUGCCCUUGACUUUGGGAUAACUUCAGGAAACUGGGGCUAAUACCGGAUAGGAGCUCCUGCUGCAUGGUGGGGGUUGGAAAGUUUCGGCGGUUGGGGAUGGACUCGCGGCUUAUCAGCUUGUUGGUGGGGUAGUGGCUUACCAAGGCUUUGACGGGUAGCCGGCCUGAGAGGGUGACCGGCCACAUUGGGACUGAGAUACGGCCCAGGCUCCUACGGGAGGCAGCAGUGGGGAAUAUUGCACAAUGGGCGGAAGCCUGAUGCAGCAACGCCGCGUGCGGGAUGACGGCCUUCGGGUUGUAAACCGCUUUCGCCUGUGACGAAGCGUGAGUGACGGUAAUGGGUAAAGAAGCACCGGCUAACUACGUGCCAGCAGCCGCGGUGAUACGUAGGGUGCGAGCGUUGUCCGGAUUUAUUGGGCGUAAAGGGCUCGUAGGUGGUUGAUCGCGUCGGAAGUGUAAUCUUGGGGCUUAACCCUGAGCGUGCUUUCGAUACGGGUUGACUUGAGGAAGGUAGGGGAGAAUGGAAUUCCUGGUGGAGCGGUGGAAUGCGCAGAUAUCAGGAGGAACACCAGUGGCGAAGGCGGUUCUCUGGGCCUUUCCUGACGCUGAGGAGCGAAAGCGUGGGGAGCGAACAGGCUUAGAUACCCUGGUAGUCCACGCUGUAAACGGUGGGUACUAGGUGUGGGGUCCAUUCCACGGGUUCCGUGCCGUAGCUAACGCUUUAAGUACCCCGCCUGGGGAGUACGGCCGCAAGGCUAAAACUCAAAGGAAUUGACGGGGCCCCGCACAAGCGGCGGAGCAUGCGGAUUAAUUCGAUGCAACGCGUAGAACCUUACCUGGGUUUGACAUGGAUCGGGAGUGCUCAGAGAUGGGUGUGCCUCUUUUGGGGUCGGUUCACAGGUGGUGCAUGCCUGUCGUCAGCUCGUGCCGUGAGAUGUUGGGUUAAGUCCCGCAACGAGCGCAACCCUUGUUCACUGUUGCCAGCACGUUAUGGUGGGGACUCAGUGGAGACCGCCGGGGUCAACUCGGAGGAAGGUGGGGAUGACGUCAAGUCCUCAUGCCCCUUAUGUCCAGGGCUUCACGCAUGCUACAAUGGCUGGUACAGAGAGUGGCGAGCCUGUGAGGGUGAGCGAAUCUCGGAAAGCCGGUCUCAGUUCGGAUUGGGGUCUGCAACUCGACCUCAUGAAGUCGGAGUCGCUAGUAAUCGCAGAUCAGCAACGCUGCGGUGAAUACGUUCCCGGG
rnacentral:rRNA from 1 species